rnacentral:rRNA from 1 species
AGUAAUGUAUGGGGAGUUUGCCCGAUAGAGGGGGAUAACUACUGGAAACGGUGGCUAAUACCGCAUAAUGUCUACGGACCAAAGCAGGGGCUCUUCGGACCUUGCACUAUCGGAUGAACCCAUAUGGGAUUAGCUAGUAGGUGGGGUAAAGGCUCACCUAGGCGACGAUCUCUAGCUGGUCUGAGAGGAUGAUCAGCCACACUGGGACUGAGACACGGCCCAG